AAAAAUAUGUACAAUUUGUACCAUUAACAUCUAUGGAGCUACGGCGGUCUACGUUUUGAUCAUUGAAACGGAACAUUUACUCUAAGAUCUUGAUUGAUUCAAGGAAAAGAAAGAAAAAAAUAGUAUGAAGAUGCGUCGAAAGCAUAAAUCGCUGAUCGAUUUACGUUAAACUUUGGCUAACGUUAAGGCGUCAAGCUUGCGUCUUUUUGUGAAUUCUCAUCUUCGAUGCAGCCAUAUAUGAAGAACUGUUAUAAGAAUUAUUCCCUUCUUAUCGUAAACUUUGGAUAGAAUGCUGCAACGGAUGAAGCAGACAGCUAACGAACAUCUAUUCUCCUCUUGAUCAUCUGGGACGACUGUGAGAAACGAGGACGACGAUGAAAGCUGCAUUGCUUUGGAAUCUCAACGCAGUUUCAAGGACGAAGAAGCAAAACGAGGUGAAUUUUCCCCUUUCAGGAUGGAUAUCAAUCAGGUCACUUCGGAGCACUUCCUGAAGAGACUUUUACCGACAUCCUCUUCUACUGAUGUCCGGAUACUACGUCGUGUGAGAUUGCUGAGACUGUGACAGCUUGCUGGAACUUUUGUGAUGGCUAGACGUGUGUUUCUCCUGAAAAUACAAAGAGAACUGUGGUACUCCAAUCCUUUUAUAAUACCUCAAAAGAAAUUGUUUAAAAAACUAAUAAUAAAUUGAUCGAUAUUUAUACAGUUUCGUCGAAAUAAAAUCAAGUAAAUUCUCUAUUUCCUUGGUAGAAUGUUUCAGAAUUAUUUGAUGUUGUUGGUUUACUCCUUAUUUGAUCAUUAAACGUUGAAAUUCCUUUCCGUUAUCUUUUCUUCUUUUCUUGUCGAUCAUAAAAGAAACAGAUGAGGAAUACGCUAAUUUACGUCAGCCUAUUAUAGAAAUUGAAUUAAAAGAAAUGAAUAUUAAUAAGAUAUGCUGAUUAAACAAUUGCAAUUCCAUUUUUCGUGGCGACGCAUAAUUUAGGAAUUAAUGAAUAAACACGUAUUCCUCGAUGCAUGUUUCAGACACGUGAUAAGUGUUCGUAUAGCUAUAUGAAUGAGUUACAGGUAUUCAGUUAAAAUAAUUAUGGAUCCUAAUUACUGUUUUUAAAAAAAGACGCAAAUAAAUUCCAAUUUUAUGGACACGACUAACUGAGAAUUAAAUCGAGAAACAUCAAGUGACUUCAUGAACGAAUGAUAUUAAAGCUUCUAUACGGAAUGCGGAUGAAUAUUAUGUAUAUUCAAAAAGACCAAAUAAAAAAGUGUAAUAAAGUCAAAUAAACGUCAUAGUAUUGCUAA